GAAUAAUUUGCUCUUUUUAGAUAUUUCUCUAGCAGGUUUCUCUUAAUGAGAAGCCCCA
rnacentral:snRNA from 1 species